AAUGAACGCUGGCGGCAUGCCUUACACAUGCAAGUCGAACGGCAGCAUGACCUAGCUUGCUAGGUUGAUGGCGAGUGGCGAACGGGUGAGUAAUGCAUCGGAACGUGCCUUUUAGUGGGGGAUAACGUAGCGAAAGUUACGCUAAUACCGCAUAUUCUCUGAGGAGGAAAGCAGGGGGCCUUCGGGCCUUGCGCUUGAAGCGCGGCCGAUGUCGGAUUAGCUAGUUGGUGAGGUAAAGGCUCACCAAGGCAACGAUCCGUAGCGGGUCUGAGAGGAUGAUCGGCCACACUGGGACUGAGACACGGCCCAGACUCCUACGGGAGGCAGCAGUGGGGAAUUUUGGACAAUGGGCGCAAGCCUGAUCCAGCCAUGCCGCGUGAGUGAAGAAGGCCUUCGGGUUGUAAAGCUCUUUCGGCUGGGAAGAAAUCGCACUCUCUAAUACAGGGUGUGGAUGACGGUACCAGAAUAAGAAGCACCGGCUAACUACGUG
rnacentral:rRNA from 1 species